rnacentral:rRNA from 1 species
CCUACGGGAGGCUGCAGUGGGGAAUAUUGGACAAUGGGCGAAAGCCUGAUCCAGCCAUGCCGCGUGUGUGAAGAAGGCCUUCGGGUUGUAAAGCACUUUCAGUGGGGAAGAAAGCCUUGGGGCUAAUACCCUCGAGGAAGGACAUCACCCACAGAAGAAGCACCGGCUAACUCCGUGCCAGCAGCCGCGGUAAUACGGAGGGUGCGAGCGUUAAUCGGAAUUACUGGGCGUAAAGCGCGCGUAGGCGGUCUGAUAAGCCGGUUGUGAAAGCCCCGGGCUCAACCUGGGAACGGCAUCCGGAACUGUCAGGCUAGAGUGCAGGAGAGGAAGGUAGAAUUCCCGGUGUAGCAGUGAAAUGCGUAGAGAUCGGGAGGAAUACCAGUGGCGAAGGCGGCCUUCUGAACUGACACUGACGCUGAGGUGCGAAAGCGUGGGUAGCAAACAGGAUUAGAUACCCGAGUAGUC